AAUUUGUAUAAGAAAUUCUAACUACGUACAUGCAUUUCUUUCCAAAUCAUUACCAAUGUAAGACUGAGGAUUCUUUUUAAUUUCGGAGAAAGCAAACCAGGUAAAUACGAAUUGAGUAUUCAUGGUACUGAGCCACAAUUCGGGUAGUUUCAGGUAUCAAGAAAGCAGGGCAACCCAACUAUUUCAGGCAGUUUCAGUCUCAGGCAUCAAUGUCUUUGAUCCAAAGUCCUGUGGUUGACCAGUCCGUCUACUUCCCUUAAACGGAGACACAGAGGCAGCUAACUUCUUUUCGCCCAGCCAUUGAAGAACUACUAUACAGUAAGCACGGAAAAAAUGUGCACAUAGGAUAUUUGGCAGAUAAGAAUAAACCAAUCAUCUCAAAGGACUGAGAAGAAAUUGCAGAAAUAAAAAAGAUGCAUGCCUUGAUAGAGAAAUACCAACUUUAUGGAGAGCUAUACCUAGGAUUACCCGUCUUUGCAACAGGUCAGGGAGACCCAGCAGAAAUUAUUGUUGAAGGAAUCUCAGGCUUUCAUAUUGACCCCUAAAAUGGUGAAGAAUCGAGCCUCCCUAAUAAUAUUAGUGGUAGUUUAGGAACUGGGAUGUAUUUUUCUUGGCUUCAUCUCAUCUGAAAUCAACAUUAUUGCUUCACAUUGAUAUGCAUAAUGCAUAUUUCUCUUAAUGUCUCUGUAUUUUGUGUUGUUUUCUACAUAAUUUCAACGACAUCUAACAUCAGCCUCCCUCGUAUGGUAACCUUUUUGUAUGUUGUGCCUUUUAGCUUUUUUUUAGAGU